ensembl:snRNA U6 U6 spliceosomal RNA
GCUCUCGCUUCAGGAGCACAUGUGUUAACAUUGGAACAAUACAGAGAAGAUUAGCACAGCCCUCAUGAAAUGACAUACAAAUUCAUGAAACAGUCCAUAGUUUU